CCUUCGGGAGAGCGCUUACCACUUUGUGAUUCAUGACUGGGGUGAAGUCGUAACAAGGUAACCGUAGGGGAACCUGCGGUUGGAUCACCUCCUUA
rnacentral:rRNA from 1 species